UCCCUGGUAGUCCAGUGGUUAGGACUCUGAAGUCUCACUGACAAGGGCCUGGGUUAGAUCCCUGGUCAGGGAU
rnacentral:tRNA from 1 species